UACGUAGGGUGCGAGCGUUGUCCGGAAUUAUUGGGCGUAAAGAGCUUGUAGGCGGUCUGUCGCGUCUGCUGUGAAAAUCCGGGGCUCAACCCCGGACUUGCAGUGGGUACGGGCAGACUAGAGUGUGGUAGGGGAGACUGGAAGUUCCUGGUGUAGCGGUGAAAUGCGCAGAUAUCAGGAGGAACACCGAUGGCGAAGGCAGGUCUCUGGGCCACUACUGACGCUGAGAAGCGAAAGCAUGGGAGCGAACAGG
rnacentral:rRNA from 1 species